UACGAAGGGGGCUAGCGUUACUCGGAAUCACUGGGCGUAAAGCGCACGUAGGCGGAUUUUUAAGUCAGGGGUGAAAUCCUGGAGCUCAACUCCAGAACUGCCUUUGAUACUGGGAAUCUCGAGUCCGGGAGAGGUGAGUGGAACUCCGAGUGUAGAGGUGAAAUUCGUAGAUAUUCGGAAGAACACCAGUGGCGAAGGCGGCUCACUGGCCCGGUACUGACGCUGAGGUGCGAAAGCGUGGGGAGCAAACAGG
rnacentral:rRNA from 1 species